CACGGAUUAGUCUUGGUCGUCAUGGGUCUGUUCAUUACUUGGAACGCUCCAGCUACAAAUAAGUAAGUCUCUCAACCUUGCUUUCUCUUUAUUCCUUCCAAUAAUUUCAUAAGCCUUCCAUUGAGAAGAGAACUAUAAGGUGAUAAGAUACUAGGCACUUCGUAAAUAUGAAAGCACUUAAAACGAAUAGCCAAAGCAGUUGAACAGGUAAAGAAGUUCAUAGUGUAAAUGGAGCAUAAAAGAUGAGAACAGGUUAUGUGUGUGGAAGAGCCAAGUCUGAAUUUAUACUUGCAUAGCUAUAGCCUAUUAUCAGGAUUAUGAAUUCUUAUGGCAAUUAUUAUGGUCCAUGCAGUCCAAUUUUUGCGGAAAUAGUACCUGAAAAAUCCCGGACAAGCGUCUACGCUUUGGAUAGAUCUUUCGAGUCCAUACUCUCAUCAUUUGCUCCCCCAAUAGUUGGACUGCUUGCUCAAUAUGUUUAUGGUUAUAAACCCC
rnacentral:lncRNA from 1 species